GAUGAACGCUGGCGGCGUGCCUAAUACAUGCAAGUCGAGCGAACAGACGAGGAGCUUGCUCCUCUGACGUUAGCGGCGGACGGGUGAGUAACACGUGGAUAACCUCUCUAUCAGACUGGGAUACCUUCGGGAAACAGGAUCUAUUACCGGAUAAUAUAUUAAACCUCAUGGUUCAAUAGUGUAAGACGUUUUUGUUCUAACUUAUAGAUAUAUCCGCGCCGCAUUAGCUCGUUGGUAAGGUAACGGCUUACCAAGGCAACGAUGCGUAGCCGACCUGAGAGGGUGAUCGGCCACACUGGAACUGAGACACGGUCCAGACUCCUACGGGAGGCAGCAGUAGGGAAUCUUCCGCAAUGGGCGAAAGCCUGACGGAGCAACGCCGCGUGAGUGAUGAAGGUCUUCGGAUCGUAAAACUCUGUUAUUAGGGAAGAACAAAUGUGUAAGUAACUAUGCACGUCUUGACGGUACCUAAUCAGAAAGCCACGGCUAACUACGUG
rnacentral:rRNA from 1 species